AGAGCACGUGUGGUAGUCUCGACACCUGUCACAUUCCCUCCAUACCUGUCACUUCGCACCUGACCGACACGCGGUGUCAAUCGUACUAAUCCUGUGGUUCACUGUUCCGUAUCUCUGCUACCCGCGUCCUUGUCGUGGGGGCGUGGAGUUCGAAACGCCGUGUGGCCCGAGGGAAGCACUCAUUACCCCCCUGUACUACAUUGACAUCUGACGAUACCAUGCGGCUACAGAAUCACGUGACCAAAGACGAGAUCAGAAAUUGGUCAUCCGAUUGGUGAACCUUUCCUCUAAUGAUCCAGGUACAGAAUCGACGUCAUCCAAGAGAAUAGGAUACCAUUGUCAACGGUGAGCCUGACCUUCCAAUGUCGACAUGAUCCUCAUACAGUAGGAUACUACUCCACCUGGUCAUUUGCUUGUAAUAACGAGCUAACAAAGAGGAUAUGAAGGGGAACUG